rnacentral:rRNA from 1 species
UAACCUGCCCAAGAGAUCGGGAUAACACCUGGAAACAGAUGCUAAUACCGGAUAACAACAGAUGAUGCCUAUCAACUGUUUAAAAGAUGGUUCUGCUAUCACUCUUGGAUGGACCUGCGGUGCAUUAGCUAGUUGGUAGGGUAACGGCCUACCAAGGCGAUGAUGCAUAGCCGAGUUGAGAGACUUGAUCGGCCACAUUGGGACUGAGACACGGCCCAAACUCCUACGGGAGGCAGCAGAU